rnacentral:rRNA from 1 species
UACGUAGGGUGCGAGCGUUGUCCGGAAUUAUUGGGCGUAAAGAGCUCGUAGGCGGUCUGUCGCGUCUGCUGUGAAAUCCCGAGGCUCAACCUCGGGCCUGCAGUGGGUACGGGCAGACUAGAGUGCGGUAGGGGAGAUUGGAAUCCCUGGUGUAGCGGUGGAAUGCGCAGAUAUCAGGAGGAACACCGAUGGCGAAGGCAGAUCUCUGGGCCGUAACUGACGCUGAGGAGCGAAAGCAUGGGUAGCGAACAGG